ACCUUUUGGAAGAAGUCGUCGAAGGUGGAAUUAAUAACUGGGGUGAAGUCGUAACAAGGUAGCCGUAUCGGAAGGUGCGGCUGGAUCACCUCCUUU
rnacentral:rRNA from 1 species